rnacentral:rRNA from 1 species
AUUGAACGCUGGCGGCAUGCCUUACACAUGCAAGUCGAACGGCAGCACGGGUGCUUGCGCCUGGUGGCGAGUGGCGAACGGGUGAGUAGUACAUCGGAACAUGUCCUGUAGUGGGGGAUAGCCCGGCGAAAGCCGGAUUAAUACCGCAUACGAUCUACGGAUGAAAGCGGGGGCCCUUCGGGGCUCGCGCUACAGGGUUGGCCGAUGGCUGAUUAGCUAGUGGGUGGGGUAAAGGCCUACCAAGGCGACGACCAUUAUCUGGUCUGAGAGGACGACCAGCCACACUGUGACUGAGACACGGCCCAGACUCCUACGGGGAGCAGCAGUGGGGAAUUUUGGACAAUGGGCGAAAGCCUGAUCCAGCAAUACCGCGUGUGUGAAGAAGGCCUUCGGGUUGUAAAGCACUUUUGGCCGGAAAGAAAUCCCUGGCCCUAAUACGGUCGGGGGAUGACGGUACCGGAAGAAUAAGCACCGGCUAACUACGUG